AACGAACGCUGGCGGCAGGCUUAACACAUGCAAGUCGAGCGCCCCGCAAGGGGAGCGGCAGACGGGUGAGUAACGCGUGGGAAUGUACCCUUUGCUACGGGAUAGCUCCGGGAAACUGGAAUUAAUACCGUAUGUGCCCUUCGGGGGAAAGAUUUAUCGGCAAGGGAUCAGCCCGCGUUGGAUUAGCUAGUUGGUGGGGUAAAAGCCUACCAAGGCGACGAUCCAUAGCUGGUCUGAGAGGAUGAUCAGCCACAUUGGGACUGAGACACGGCCCAAACUCCUACGGGAGGCAGCAGUGGGGAAUAUUGGACAAUGGGCGCAAGCCUGAUCCAGCCAUGCCGCGUGUGUGAUGAAGGCCUUAGGGUUGUAAAGCACUUUCACCGAUGAAGAUAAUGACGGUAGUCGGAGAAGAAGCCCCGGCUAACUUCGUGCCAGCCGCCGCCGUAACAC
rnacentral:rRNA from 1 species